rnacentral:misc_RNA from 1 species
AUUCAGCUGAUGAGCUCAGGUGCAGCCCCUGGUCCUAUUUCCAGCGAGUCUUUUAUUGGCGCCCCUGCUUCAGCUCCUAUGUAAUUAAUCACACUAUAUCAUGGUUUCAAAUAAUUUUUUUUUAUUCGAAUUUAUUUAGUUAAAGAAAAUCAAUAGUACAUUUGAGUUGAGAAUUUGGAUUGAGAGGCAAUUUGAGAUUUUCCAUUUAUUGUUG